rnacentral:pre_miRNA from 1 species
ACACAAAUCUCUUGAGGAUUUUAUUAAAAUGUCUAUUCUGAUUUAGGAAACCUGGGGUUGGCCUGGAAUUCUGCAUUUUUAACAAGCUUCCAGGUGAUUCCCAU